rnacentral:tRNA from 1 species
AAAAUUAUAGUAUAACUUUUAUUAUAUCUCAUUGUCGAUGGGGGGAUUUUUUAAUUUUA